UGCAGGACAGGGGUUCCCUGAGGACAGGGUUAAGUACCACUGCUUUGGGCGGAGGGAGGGAGGCAUGGAAGGCCUUAAACCCACUCCUUACCCCGAACCCCACCUGAUGUCUCUCCUUCAACUCCUCUCUAGUUUUCCCUCUGUUUCUUGUUGUUUUUCUCACCCCUCCCUCCGUCUAGGGAGCAAGAAUCCUUCAAGAAAGGUCAGGGAAGGGGGGGGAGGUGGUGCUGGGAGCAGGGGUGGGCAGGCCUGCCUUCUCAGCCAAUAAAACUGGAGCGCUGGGUGUGUGGAGUUCUUAGUGUGCAGAGUAGAGCAGCCUCAUGUACGUUUCUUCUUUUGGAGAGGCGUCUUCGUGAGCCUACGGACACAAACUGUCGCUGCAUCUGCCAUUCACACAUCCAACCUUCCAUCCAACCUUCCAUCCAACCUUCCCUCUGUCGGCCUUCCCAGGAUUCCGUCCGUCAAAGGAGUCCUUCUGCAGGCCUGGCGUCUCUGCUGACGGGAGGGCACGCUUGAGACUGCGAGAGGGAAUUCGAAGAGUUCCAAGGUGAACCGUCUUCAGUCAACAUGACCAGCGUCAACGCUCCAGCCUGCCUGCUGGCUCGGAACCACUUCUACAAAAGCAGCAGUCCUACUGAGAGCACCAAGUCAGAGUUCAGUCUCUCUGAAGGCCCCUUGCCACCCAGACAGAGACAGGUGACCGUCUGGGUCACCAUGACAACACCGCCAGGGUUUCCUGAUGGGAUAACCAGGGGUUGCUGGGUCAGUAUUGUCCUGGCUAGCCCUUUCAGCCAGUCCACCCCCAACAAACAUCCCCGCCCUGCCAACAGAGCCGUCAAGUAGUCAACGCCCCAACAUCCAACCCCAUUGGUUUACAUGCUGGAGAACAGGAAGAUGUCAUCAUCGGAAUCCUCCAAUUCCUCUUCUCCCCCCCUCUUUGCACAUGAGCAUAGCCAGCCAGUGUAACUGGGUUUGGUGUUUUAUAGCCCUUUGUGCAACAAUUAACAAAGACACAAAACUCAGCCUUGCACCGCCAGGAAAACCUGUCUUGUUUUGUGUAGGCAGACUGAAAGGUGACACAACACCCCUGGAAUACUGUGUGUAAGACAUGACUUUCUCUAAAAAGUGACAUUUACUGAUGUAAGCCAAAAGGCUAUGCAUACAAAUAGACAAAUGACAGACACAAAACUUAUUUUUUUACUUUGACUUUCCUUUACGUUCACUGCAUUCCCCAGCUCUAAGAACUUCCCCCUAUGUUGAACAAAUGUCAAGAACAUUAUGUUCCUUUCUGUCCGUUCUGCUGGAUGGUUGCCAGGCAGCAGCUGGGAAGUUGUCUCAGUUGUGCGUGCAGAUCUCCAGUGUGGAUCCUCUCUGAUUUGCCUUCCCCCAGAUCUGAGGUCAGAAGAGCUUCGCUUAGCUUUCUCCCGUCAGGUCUGCGAAGGAAUAGAGUCCGAAAAAUAAA